UGAGGAAUCUUGGACAAUGGGGGCAACCCUGAUCCAGCAACGCCGCGUGAAGGACGAAGGUCUUCGGAUUGUAAACUUCUUUUGUUGGGGAAUAAAAAAUCUGUGGAAACACGGAGAUUGAAGGUACCCGAUGAAUAAGCCACGGCUAACUUCGUGCCAGCAGCCGCGGUAAUACGAAGGUGGCAAGCGUUACUCGGAAUUACUAGGCGUAAAGGGCAGGUAGGCGGUUCGGUAAGUCUGUUGUGUAAGCUCCCGGCUUAACUGGGAGAGGUCAACGGAAACUACCGGACUUGAGUAUAGGAGAGGUUACUGGAAUUCCCGGUGUAGCGGUGAAAUGCGCAGAGAUCGGGAGGAACACCAAUGGCGAAGGCAGGUAACUGGACUAUUACUGACGCUCAGCUGCGAAAGCUAGGGGAGCAAACAG
rnacentral:rRNA from 1 species